GACCUCAAAUCAGGUAGGACUACCCGCUGAACUUAAGCAUAUCAAUAAGCGGAGGAAAAGAAACCAACAGGGAUUCCCUUAGUAGCGGCGAGCGAACUGGGAUGAGCUCAAAUUUAAAAUCUGGCCUCUGGCCCGAGUUGUAAUUUGAAGAGUCAGUUUCGGUACCGGCUGUGUCCAAGUCCCUUGGAACAGGGCAUCAUGGAGGGUGAUAAUCCCGUGCUUGACACAAUCACCGGUGCCAUUAGAAACCGUCUCAAAGAGUCGAGUUGUUUGGGAAUGCAGCUCUAAAUGGGUGGUAAAUUCCAUCUAAGGCUAAAUAUUGGCGAGAGACCGAUAGCAUACAAGUACCGUGAGGGAAAGAUGAAAAGCACUUUGGAAAGAGAGUUAAACAGCACGUGAAAUUGUUGAAAGGGAAACGAUUGAAGUCAGUCUUGUUGGACGGGUUCAGCUGUCUCUGGCAGUGUAUUCCUGUUCAACGGGCCAACAUCGGUUAGGAACGGUGGAUAAGGGCAGCAGGAAGGUAGCACCUUGGUGCAUUAUAGCCUGCUGUCGCACACACUGAUCCUGACCGAGGACUGCAGCUUGCCUUUUUGGCCGGGGUUCGCCCUCGUACAAGCUUAGGAUGUUGGCAUAAUGGCUUCAACCGACCCGUCUUGAAACACGGACCAAGGAGUCUAACAUAUCUGCGAGUGUUUGGGUGUCAAACCCAAGCGCGUAAUGAAAGUAACAAAAGGGAUCCUUCACCGGUGCACCUUUGACCGAUCUUGAGCUUUUGCAACGGAUUUGAGUAAGAGCAUAUAUGCUGGGACCCGAAAGAUGGUGAACUAUGCCUGAAUAGGGUGAAGCCAGGGGAAACUCUGGUGGAAGCUCGUAGCGAUUCUGACGUGCAAAUCGAUCGUCAAAUUUGGGUAUAGGGGCGAAAGACUAAUCGAACCAUCAGCUACUAGGUGGUUAAGAGGAUUGUUAAAAGCAUUUCCUAGUUCUGAGAUUUGCUCAGGGCAAGAGCGUCAAAUUGCGGGGACAUUCUAAAGUUUCAAGUACCAAACAUCUAACCGAAAGGUGGAUGUGGCUGGGGUAAUGACCUAGGGUAUGGUAAUAACCUUGAAAAUGUGACAAUGAGUAAUCCGCAGCCUACUCUGCAUUUGGAGUAGGUCCACAGACUAAAUGACGUUCGGCAAGGCUUAGAGCUUUGCUUAAGAUAUAGUCGGUUCACCGGAGUAAUCUGGUCUGUUGAGAAGAAUUGCUCAAAUGAGAGCUCAAUAGGAGUAAGCAUUCUGUUUACUUGAAUUC
rnacentral:rRNA from 1 species